rnacentral:tRNA from 2 species
GGUCGCUUAGCUCAGUUGGUUAGAGCGUGGUGCUAAUAGCUUUACAAAGCCUUGAUACGCCAAGGUCGCGAGUUCGACCCUCGUAGUGACCA